ACCAUUCCACGAACCAGAACAUUCAACAGAAGACACCGCUUAACAAUCUUAAGACAAAAUAUGAAACAUAAGGGUCAAAACCCUAAAGCACAUAACAGAGAUCCCCUUCCUUACAAAACCUUGCCCUCAAGGUUAGGACGCUGCCAUAUUCUGAGAGAAAUGAGGUCUUCCCACGUUGUGUUGUCUUCUCCCAUACUUGUCCAUUGCACCAAAACCUCUAGCCCCAUUGUAUUGUCCCUUUUCUUAAGCCUUCUCUGUAAUAUCUUCUCUAGUUCGGGCGCAAGAGCCCUUUCUGUAGUGGCAAUCGGUAAGGUAGCACACGGUUCUCUCUGAUGAGCAUCGUGAUGAACUCAUGGGACCGUAACUCCUCAUCCAUAGCCUGUACGUUCGUAGAUCCUGUCUCAUAUGGCAACAUUCGAGGGGGUGGUUGGCCAUACACAGCCUCGAAGGGUGAAACCUUCGUUGAUGUGUGCAAUGAGGUAUUGUAUGAGUAUUCUGUAAGAGGUAACCACCUUAUCCAGUCCUUUGGUCGAUUACUUGAAAAGCACCUGAGAUAGCACUCAAGCACUUUGUUCAUGGCCUCUGUCUGGCCAUUGGUUUGGGGAUGAUAUGCUGUAUUGAGUAAAAUUUUGAUUCCACAAAUCCUGAAUAGCUCAUUCCAAAAGCUGCUAGUAAACACUGGAUCUUGAUCACAUACAAUGGUCUAAGGAAUCCCGUGCGGCUUAAAUAUAUUGUCCAUGAAAACCCUCGCCAUUCUCAUUGCUAUGUAUGGAUGUGUAAUGGUUAUGAAAUGAGCAUAUUUGCUCAAUCUAUCCAUUACUACCAAAACAACAGUUUUUCCUCCUAAGGGAGGCAACCCCUAAAUAAAAUCCAUGAUGAUAUCUUCUUAGUUCUUUAUAGAUAUUGGCAAGGGUUGAAGCAACCCUGCUAGGUGGAGGGUUUCAACCUUGCUCCUCUAACAUACAUCACACUCCCUGACAUGUACUCGGACAUCACUUCUUAAACCAUGCCAGUAAAACUCCAUUUUUAUUCUGCUUUGUGUUUUCUGUACUCCAGUGUGGCCCCCUAAUAGACUAUUAUGAAAAUGAUGCAUGAUCUAUUGCUAAAAGGGAACCAAAGAUCUGAGAUGUAGCCUUCCUUUAUAGAAAAAUAGCUCAUUUCAGAUUUGGUAAUGAGAUUGGUCCAAGGCUCCAUGAUGAUAGUGGCUUAUUAGCUAUUGUAACAUGGGGUCCUGUUGGUAAGCCUUCUUUAACUCUUCUAUCCACUGUGCUUAUAAUAUACUAAUUGCUUGCACUUGCAUUGUAACUUUUUUGGUUGGGGUGUUUGUGGUAUUUGGUUUUGUGGUGGAUGGUUCUGUGGUAGUGGCAUGUGAGGUUUGGGAUGGGUAUAUGGGUAAUUCUAUUGGGUAUUGGUACUGUAUAUGGGAGAGGGCAUCUGCCACUACAUUGAUUUUUCCAAUCUUAUAUUCUACUGUAAAAUCAUACCCCAGUAACUUGGAGAUCCAUUUCUACAAUGCUGGUGUCCCAAUCCUCUGUUCCAACAGGUAUUUAAAUGCCUAUUGGUUAGUAUGUACUUUGAAGAACUACCCCAAUAGGUAGUGCCUACAUUUCUUCAUUGCUAACACCACAACCAACAAUUCAUUUUCAUAUGUAGAAAGACUCAAUGUCCUCCCUUUUAGAGCUUGGCUAAAAUACGCUAUAGGUUGCCCUUUCUGCAUUAAUACUGCUUCUAAAACUUCCCCUAAUGCAUCACAUUUCAUAAUAAAAGUUUUAGCAAAAUUAGGCAACCUUAGAACAAGGGAACUUACCAUGGCCCCUUUGAGUAUGUCAAAUGCCUCUUGUGCCUUCUCAUUCCAAAGAAAAGCAUUCUUCCUUAAGAGAGAAGUGACUAGGGUUGCUAUAGCCCCAUGCCCCUAGAUAAAUUUUCUAUAACACCUAGUAAGCCCUAAAAAACCCCUCAAUGCCUUGAGAUUUUUAGGAACUAGCCAGUUUUGCAUUGCAGUCAGUUUUUGAGGGUGUUCUUACACCUUCUUUUGAAAUAAGAUCUUCAAAGUACUCCACCUCCCUACUACCACAUAUGCAUUGAGACCUUUUUGCAAAAAAAAAUUCAUUUUGUAGAACUUCUAACACCCAUGUAAGAUGUUGCACAUGAUCCUAUACAGACUUGUUGUAGAUUAAGAUAUCAUUAAAGAAUACUAGUACAAACUUCCUCAAAUAUAGCCUAAAUACUUCAUUCAUCAGUCCCUAAAAGGUUGAGGGUGCAUUUGUAAGCCCAAAAGGCAUCACCAAAAAUUCAUAAUGAAACUCAUGGGUCCUAAAGGUAGUUUUAGGGAUGUCAUUAAGAUUCAUCUGUAUCUGAUGACAUCCUGAUCUUAAAUCCAACUUAGAAAAUAUUUUAGCCCCUCCUAACUCAUCAAUGUUAGGAAUUGGAUACUUAUCUUUGAUUGUGUCUUUGAUGAGAGCACGGUAAUCCAUGCACAUCUGCCAGCUUCCAUCUGCUUUACUUACUAGUAGCAUGGGUGAAGAGUAUGAGCUAUGACUGCUCCUUAUACUUCCACUUCAUAUCAUCUGAACCACCAGCUCUCUAUCUCCCCCUUAUGAUAAUAUGGAUACCUAUAAGGCCUUACACAUGUCGGUUUGGCCCCAUCCUGUAGUUGUAUCUCAUGAUCAAAACUCCUAGGAGAGGGUAAACCCGAAGGUUUAGCAAACACUCCCUUAAACUUAUCCAAAACUGGUUGUACUUCUAGUAAUAUAUUAUACAUGGAAUCUUCAUUGUUUCCAAUCAUAAUCUACAGCCUCACUCUUUUGGCAGUGCCCUUUUUGAGUUUUGUAAUGUGGUCCUUCUUGGCAAUACAAUCGAUAGGUCUUUGAAUACCCUGCAGCUUCAUAGUCUGAGUUCCCCACUGAAAUUUCAUGGUUAGAUUAGAAAAAUUCAAGAAAACCAAGCCCAAACCUCUUAACCAAUCAACACCAAGCACUAAAUCACAUCUUCCAAGAGUUAAUUCAUACAAAUUAACCAUAAAAGUAAAAUCCUAUAACAAAAUAGAGACUGUCUUACAUUGACCAAGGCAAGGAAGAGUGGCCCCAUUGGCCACUUGGACUGUUAAGUAGCUAUCCUCCCUUGACAGCUUAGCCUUGCUUGCUACAUUAUGGAUCUAUAAAGCUAUGAGUACUACCUGUAUCUAGUAAAACCAAGACUUUUUGAUGGUUAAUCUCCCCUAGGAGCCUCAUAGUUUUAGGUGCUAAAGAUCCAGGUAUAGCAUGUUGGGAUAUUCCCAAAAAUUCUCUCACUUCCUCCUCCUUAAAUUCCUCAUAUUGGAUCACGGCUAAUGCAUCUUGUUCUUUUUCUACUUCCUGGUUCUCUUCUUCCUCAUCUCCCAAACCCUUAAGAAGGAAUAUUCGAGGCCUACUACAUCUAUGCCUUGGAUGGUAUUUCUCAUCACAGUAAUAGCACAGUUUUUUCUCGCUUCUCUCCUGUAUUUGAGUGGGGGUAAUUCUCCUUAUAGGAAAGUUGAGCUUUCUCGUAAGAUUGGGUAGUGGGGGUCUUGGGUUUGGUUGGUUAGGAUGGGGAGAUAGUCUUAGUAUGAGGGGUGGUGCAGGUAGUUUGCGUUGGGUAUUUGAAGUGGGAGUAUGGAAGAUACUUAUUCUAAACUCCUUUGUUACUCCUUUAACUUUGUUAGGCAGUUCUUCAAACUGAGUUUGAUACUCUUCUAGUGUAUUGGUUUGCCUUAAUUUAGUGAAUUUCCCAACUGGAUCCUCAUAUGUUGAGGGUUCAAAUCUCACCCUUAAAGCUAUGGUAAACUCAUCCCAAGUAUCAACUGAUUAAAGAGUACCAUGAGAGGGCUUUACCCUCCAUGUGGAAGAAGGCAAUUUUAAUCCUUUGGUCAUCUAGGGUGCUAUAAUAGAAGAAAAACUAUUUUGCCUUUAAAACCCACUCAUUAUGUUCAGCCUUAUCAAACUUUAGAAAUUCUAAUUUGAGAGACCUUGCGUGUAUACCCCCAUUUUUCUCAAAUAAAGGAUGGUUACUAACUUGGUUCUUCUAAUCGUUCUGCUGAUUAGAAGAUCCCUUCCAAAAUUAUGGCUCCCGAACAUCCCCACAAUCUAUUCAUAACUUGAGGCCAAGUUAUUUAACCGCUGCAAUUCAGCAUCUAACACACCUUUUUGUUUCUAUUAUUCUUCUCGCAGGCACAGGUUCUCUCCCUUCAAAGACGCCAUUGCCUCAUCCAAGUGUGCUUGCCUAGUUCCUUCAGCCAUGUCGCAGGUUUGAAGAAAAUAAAGAUAUAAAUUUCACCAGUGCAAUUUGAGAAUAAAGAUCAAGUUUGAUUUUUUUCAAGAUGCUAAAGAUAGAAGGGAUAAGUUGAUGAAGAAAUAAAGUUGAAGGAUCCUAACGACACAUGGAAUUCAAGCCUGAAGAUAGAGAAUUUGAAAAAAAAAAGAAAAAAGAGAAAGAGAUUGGACGAAAAAGUAAAAGAAAAGGAGAUGAUUUGCAUGUACGUGAGCCCAUUUUAAUUUUAAUGGAAUACUUUGACUUGGUCUUCAUGGAAUCAACAAAGCUAGAUUUGACUUGGCAUGCAAUACGGGACAUUUUGGCUGGCACGUAGAAAUGGAUGGAAGUGAAAAAACCGGAGAUUUGAUCUACUCUUGGCUGGCACGAAACAGACGGCAUUUUGCUGGUAAUGAAUUUUUUUUUUUUUUUGGGCUUGGCUCUUAGAGAAAAAAAAGACAGAUUAGAAAUUUAAUUUCCUUUGGUUUGGAAGAGGAGUUGCAACUGUGAAGACGCUGCUGCGACUAGGAGGAGCAUUUUUCAGUGUUUAUUUUCCUUCCAUUAUUCUCAAAAAAAUUAUGGUGAAUUCGUUUAUGUUGAAUUAAAUUUAUCAUGAACUAAAUUUUAUUUAUUCUAGGAAAACGAUGUAAUCUAGUUCUGAACUAUGCUUGAUUUUCUAUACUAAUUUAAAGCAAUUCUUUCUUCGUUUAUCUGA